rfam:Felis catus isolate Cinnamon breed Abyssinian chromosome D1, whole genome shotgun sequence.
GCCUGGGUGGCUCAGUCGGUUAAGCGUCUGACUUCAGCUCGGGUCACUAUCUCUCAGUCCAUGGGUUCGAGCCCCGUGUCGGGCU